AUGAGAAGGGAAUGGAAAAACAGGAGCUGCUGUUCCGCGAGACUUUCUAUUUUUAAAAGGUUAAAAAUAUCUAUUUUCAGACACCAGCCCAGGAAGCGCUGGGGUGAAGCGACGCGGCGGGACGGGAGGAGUAAACAAGGCCGGGACGUGCCGGGCGGCUCGGGAGCUGCAGCUCCGGGGACAGGGACAGCGAGGGACAAUGGGCCGGGGACGUGGCCACAGGGAGACGAGGGAUUGCAUCAGGCUGCAGGGCUCCGUGCCAGGGGGAUGCUCAGCCCCAAGAGAGGAUGCGCAGCAUCAAGGCCAAGGUCGCAGUGAUGCUCCCUGGGCUGGCCGGGCCCUCGUGCUCAUCCCUUGGCUCCACCUGGGCAGGAGCACCUCAUGUGCACCACAUUCCCCAGACAGAAUCAGGCAAUGCUCCAGGAAUGCUGCAAAAGGUCCUUGGGGUGCUGGUGCCAGCGGCUGACCAUGAACCCAGACAUUAAGUCAUUUUCCUGAGGAAGUGCCGUAUGACGUCGAUCUGCUCACAGGAGUCGGGGUGGAGCUGCGAGCUCCAGCGAGACUACAGCAGAGGUGAGGAGCGGGAGCACCAGGACACCCCGUCCUGGCCCUCUGCUACAGGAAUGGCACUCCAGGGGUCCAAAUGCAAUGCAAAUCCUGGUAUUUCGAGGUC